CAGGUGAAGGGGAUUGCCGUUGAUGGUGUGGUGGGUUGAAGACCUUCGGAGCAAAAACUGAUGUUUCCCAGAGUAGAAGGAAUUCUGCUUCAGGACUGUAACAGAGCAAUCCUUUCUGGCGAGUGAUGUCGUCCAGAGGGCACCAGAGCUCAUUCCCGACUUCAGUCCUCUUCACAAGAAGGCCAGCCAGCAACCACCCACAGACAAGACACCGUUGUGAAACCCCAGAGCCCGGGAGUGAGGCUGAAGCACCGCCUGGACCACAGAGACCAAGAGGAGCCGGGUCUGAAGGAGGUGCCUGAGUGGAGAUCCCAGCCAGCAGCUCUGCUCUUCUAUGAGUGGGGCUGCGGGGCAGGAGGGCGAGGAGGAACCGGUGAAGCCAUUCAGAGCAGGGUCGCAGCAGGAGCAGGGCAGAUGGGAACAACCUGGAGUCGGUGAGGGCGGAGGAGGGAAAGCCUGCAGCUGCCAGGAGUUUGCCUGGUUUGUCCGAAGCGUCAGGAAGCCCCUCGAGAAUGGGACCCGGUCCGUGUCUCCUCACAGUAUGUACCCUGUGCCUGGCACGGAGCCCGCCAUGUAGUAAAUAUUUGUUGACUGAGUUAAAAGGGAGUGUAUGAGUGAAUUCGCCAUCUACAUGUUUUACAUAAAAUCCUUCCUUCCUUAGCCUGCCGCCUGCUGCACACAUUUCAGACACAGGGCUGCCUGCCUGAGGCUCCAUAGAUUCCAGGCUGGCCAGCCUGUGGCAUGAAGCAAGUCUCUGUAACCUAUAGAUGCACUCAAUUUGCAAGUGAAAUUAUGCAUGUUCCAGGUUCCACAGUACCUGAAAGCAUGCGUGUUCCAGGUUCCGCAGUACCUGAAAGCAUGCAUGUUCGAGGUUCUGUAGUACCUAAAAGUAUCUAGUAUGCGUGUUCCAGGUUCCGUACUACCACAGAAACAACUAAAGGCCCUUUCAUGGAGUUAGUUGAAAAAUUAUGGCACACCCAUCACUAGAAUACUUUGCAUCCAUAAACAAACAAACAAAAAGCUCUCUAUGUUCUUAUACUGAAUUUUAUCCAAUAGUGAGUGAAAAAAGCAAGAUACAGAAUAGGUUAUCUGGGUGCUAUCAUUUGUAUAAUGGAGGGAGUAGAGUAACUCCCACAUAUAGUCUCUUGAAGGAUAUAUAUGAAAGUCAUCAUAUUGGUUGUUUCUGGGGAAUAAGAACAUCUUUUUGUGACUUUGAAAUUUGAUACCAAGGCACUGAGAGCCUCGGGCAGAAGCAUGAUGCAGACCAUUGCGGGUGGUUCGAGCCUGGGAGAGGCUUCUGUCCCCAAACCUGGGAUGCACACAGAAGGGCUGCAGAGACUGGGAGCAGGUCUUGCUAGAGAGAGGCAUGGGCAGAUUUGAAACUGGGAAUGAAUGUGGCCCUAAAAGGAGGGUCUUAGGCUCUCGUCAUGAUUGACAUCCGAUAGUCUUGUCCAUAACAUCAUUAUUAAACACAGCCCUUUCGGUACCUUUUUUUUUCUAUUUUGCUUGUAAGUAGGCUCAGGUUUUCCGGAAGGUGGGAUCUGAAGGUAGCACAUGCCGGGGCCUUACUGCCACAGGCUGUCCCAGAAGGACGGCCACUGGGCUUCUUUACUUAUGGGGACAGCUGGGUACAAUCAGAAGGAGAUGGGCCAGGCAUGCAGGGCCUGCGCUGCCAGGACAUGCCAAACCCUCCCAUCCUUUAAAAAUAGGAACUGAGCCCUG